UACGUAGGGUGCGAGCGUUAAUCGGAAUUACUGGGCGUAAAGCGUGCGCAGGCGGUUGUGGAAGUCCGAUGUGAAAUCCCCGGGCUUAACCUGGGAAUGGCAUUUGGGACUGCACGGCUAGAGUGUGGCAGAGGGGGGUGGAAUUCCGCGUGUAGCAGUGAAAUGCGUAGAGAUGCGGAGGAACACCGAUGGCGAAGGCAGCCCCCUGGGUUAACACUGACACUCAUGCACGAAAGCGUGGGGAGCAAACAGG
rnacentral:rRNA from 1 species